GGGCCUUGUACACACCGCCCGUCAAGCCAUGGGAGCCGGGGGGCGCCUGAAGUCCGGGACCGCGAGGACCGGCCUAAGGCGAAACUGGUGACUGGGGCUAAGUCGUAACAAGGUACC
rnacentral:rRNA from 1 species